AUUCCACGUUCUCCGCGCCGUAGCUAACGCAUUAAGUGCCCCGCCUGGGGAGUACGGUCGCAAGGCUAAAACUCAAAGGAAUUGACGGGGGCCCGCACAAGCGGCGGAGCAUGCGGAUUAAUUUYGAUGCAACGCGAAGAACCUUACCAAGGCUUGACAUACACCGGACCGGGCUGGAAACAGUCUUUCCCCUUUGGGGCUGGUGUACAGGUGGUGCAUGGUUGUCGUCAGCUCGUGUCGUGAGAUGUUGGGUUAAGUCCCGCAACGAGCGCAACCCUCGUUCUAUGUUGCCAGCACGUGAUGGUGGGAACUCAUAGGAGACUGCCGGGGUCAACUCGGAGGAAGGUGGGGAUGACGUCAAAUCAUCAUGCCCUUUAUGUCUUGGGCUUCACGCAUGCUACAAUGGCUGGUACAGAGAGAGGCGAACCCGUGAGGGUAAGCGAAUCCCUUAAAGCCAGUCUCAGUUCGGAUCGUAGUCUGCAAUUCGACUACGUGAAGUCGGAGUCGCUAGUAAUCGCAGAUCAGCAACGCUGCGGUGAAUACGUUCCCGGGCCUUGUACACACCGCCCGUCAAGUCACGAAAGUCGGUAACACCCGAAGCCGGUGGCCCAACCCUUGUGGAGGGGGCCGUAAGUGACUGGCCUUGA
rnacentral:rRNA from 1 species